rnacentral:rRNA from 1 species
UUUGGUGGCGAUGGCGAAGAGGAUACACCCGUUCCCAUUCCGAACACGGAAGUUAAGCUCUUCAGCGCCGAUGGUAGUUGGGGGCCUCCCCCUGCGAGAGUAGGACGUUGCCAAGC